AUUGCAGCUACUGUGGGUUUCUGGCGGCAUCUGUGCUUUGAGCCAAUUCCAGUCAUUUGUGAACAAAUGUAUAAAUUGAGCAGGGUUUAUAAAAGUGUCUUGGUCACCCAGGCUGGACUACAGUGGUGCAAUCAUGGCUCACUGAAGCCUCAACCCCCUGAACUCAAGCAAUCCUCCCACCUCAGCCUCUGGAGUAGCUAAGACUACAGUGGGGUCUUGCUCUGUCACCCAGGCUGGAGUUCAGUGGUGCGAUCAUAGCUCACUGCAGACUUGAAUUCCUGGGCUCUAGCGAUUCUCCUAUCUCGGCGUCCUGAGUAGCUGGGCCCACAGCUCUGGGGACAGUAAAACAGGAAACAUCUGAUGCAGUUGUUCUGAAGGAUCACCUUGGUGAAGCCCAAUUUCUGCAGAUCCUGUGUACAAAGGUCAAGAAACAUGCCCAGAUCUCCGUAUAUACUUAUUCUGGGUAAUUAAUUUCAGCAAGUGACAUCUGGCAAGUAGAUCAGGUCUCCAUUGCUUUAUAGAAGGCAACUAUUUCACAGCUAGAGAGGCCUGCAGUGGAU
rnacentral:lncRNA from 10 species